rnacentral:rRNA from 1 species
UAAUACGUAGGGUGCGAGCGUUAAUCGGAAUUACUGGGCGUAAAGGGUGCGUAGGCGGUUCGUUAUGUCUGCUGUGAAAGCCCCGGGCUUAACCUGGGAAUGGCAGUGGAAACUGGCGGGCUUGAGUGUGGCAGAGGGGGGUGGAAUUCCGCGUGUAGCAGUGAAAUGCGUAGAGAUGCGGAGGAACACCGAUGGCGAAGGCAGCCCCCUGGGCUAACACUGACGCUGAGGCACGAAAGCGUGGGGAGCAAACAGGAUUAGAUACCCUGGUAGUCCACGCCCUAAACGAUGAUCACUAGGUGUUGGGGAAGCGAUUUUCCAGUACCGUAGCUAACGCGUGAAGUGAUCCGCCUGGGGAGUACGGUCGCAAGAUUA